UGAUCUAACACAUUUAACUCCUUUCUUACCUUAAUUUUAUGAGACAGCAGUGAGUGGCUAAAUCUAAAUGUUUUGAAUCAUUAUAAAACGUGUUUGCUUUUUCCCUUAGAUAGUGCUGCAAGAGGGAAAUUCCCAAAAGAAGUCAAAUAUUUCAGAGAAAACCAAGCGUUUGAAUGAACUAAAAUUGUCGGUGGUCUCUUUGAAAGAAAUACAAGAGAGUUUGAAAACAAAAAUUGUGGAUUCUCCAGAGAAGUU
rnacentral:sRNA from 1 species